AUACUAUACCAUAUCAUACCUUACCACACCACACCACACCACCGCCAGACACCACUACACCACCAUCACCACCAUCACCAGACACCACUACACCACCACCACCACCACCGCUACACACCAUACAACACCACACCACACCACGGUAUCCUUGGAGCUCCGAUCUGUCCAGCCCCGCCAAUCCCUACCAAGCCCCUCCGACCUGACCCAGCUCCGCCAAGCCCUACCAAGCCCCUACGACCCCCCUUCCCGUCCUGCCGCGUCAGUGGUGCAGCUGUAAUGAGUGACGCAGGUGUGACAGGCGAGCCGCUCCGCCCACCGCCGCACGUGGUUCUCCGAGAGUAAGAAGCGAUGGUAUUGAUCCGACCAGACUUUGUUGGGUGCAACUGUAGUAGGCGGGAGGUGAGGCUUGUGUUUGUUCACAGGUGGCCUGGGAUGCCCCGUGCGUGCUGCCCUCGACUUGGCGUGCUGGGAACCGCGUGGACGCGUUUGCGUUCACAUGGCGGAGACUCGUGCUGUAAAGGAGAAGUAGCGGAGGAGCGGGUGAGGGAGGUAGUGAGAGGCUCCGUGGAGGCCGCCGGGCAGUGUAUGGGAGGCGCCGCUCCUCACCCUGCUAUUAACUGGCGGGAUGGGCGGUGUUCUCUCCUAACUCAGACAACAAGUGAGAAGGUGCAGCAGGAGCGCGGCCUUUUUGUUAUGCCUCGGCGUGGCUGCGUCACCGGGGGGAGAUGUUUGGGUGGCGCGGGGUGAGGCUGCUCCUGCAUUACCGUAAUGAGACGCUCCACACGGCGACUCGCCGACACUCCCAGCGACAGAAGCGAAUAAUGAUAAAAAGGAGAGGUGGAUGGAUACAAGAAAAAGACAAGCUACAUAGGAGAGGAGAAAAGAAAGAGAAGACAAGAGACGAAAGAAAUAACAGAAGAGGAGAGAGGAGAGGAGAAAAGAGAAGACGUCUUUUUCCUGGCUAGAUUGCUACGCUGGUUUUUGCUUGCAAGUAAAACCGAGUUCAUGAUCGGACCCCCCCUACAAGCGCUCUAUUAUUUAUUCAUGGUUCAUCAUUAGCAGCAGUUUGUAGCGCAUCUUUUGCAGUUGAAAUACAGAUGCUAAGAAACACUGGGCUGGAAAGGGGAAACGAUCUAGUGGAGAACAAGGGCCGGGGCUGAGAGAGACAACGUCCCGGUCUCUGCUCUCCCCACUCGGUGAUCUCACCUUCCCGGUCGAUCGUUAACACGCAUCUCGAUUUCCAACUAAAUAAAUAAAAACAAAAAUAAUGAAGCGCUACAAACUGUCAUAGGUCAUUAAUCAAAUAUUUUUUUAGCUAGUGAAUGAAGCACACAGAGCGUGUGAUCAUCCACUGACAAGAAAGGGUGGCAGCUUUCCUGACAACUCGCUUGUGCACGUGGUGUACUACU